AGUGAACGCUGGCGGUAGGCCUAACACAUGCAAGUCGAACGGCAGCACAGUAAGAGCUUGCUCUUACGGGUGGCGAGUGGCGGACGGGUGAGGAGUACAUCGGAAUCUACUUUUUCGUGGGGGAUAACGUAGGGAAACUUACGCUAAUACCGCAUACGACCUACGGGUGAAAGCAGGGGAUCUUCGGACCUUGCGCGAUUGAAUGAGCCGAUGUCGGAUUAGCUAGUUGGCGGGGUAAAGGCCCACCAAGGCGACGAUCCGUAGCUGGUCUGAGAGGAUGAUCAGCCACACUGGAACUGAGACACGGCCCAGACUCCUACGGUAGGCAGCAGUGGGGAAUAUUGGACAAUGGGCGCAAGCCUGAUCCAGCCAUACCGCGUGGGUGAAGAAGGCCUUCGGGUUGUAAAGCCCUUUUGUUGGGAAAGAAAAGCAGCAGGUUAAUACCCCGCUGUUCUGACGGUACCCAAAGAAUAAGCACCGGCUAACUUCGUG
rnacentral:rRNA from 1 species